rnacentral:rRNA from 1 species
UACGUAGGGUGCGAGCGUUAAUCGGAAUUACUGGGCGUAAAGGGCCAGUAGGCGGCCAACUAAGUCCGACGUGAAAUCCCCAGGCUCAACCUGGGAACUGCGUCGGAUACUGGAUGGCUUGAAUUCGGGAGAGGGAUGCAGAAUUCCAGGUGUAGCGGUGAAAUGCGUAGAUAUCUGGAGGAAUACCGGUGGCGAAGGCGGCAUCCUGGACCGACAUUGACGCUGAACGGCGAAAGCUAGGGGAGCAAACGGG